rnacentral:rRNA from 1 species
UACGUAGGAUGCAAGCGUUGUCCGGAAUUAUUGGGCGUAAAGAGUUCGUAGGCGGUUGCCUAAGUCUGUUGUUAAAGGCCUGAGCUCAACUCGGGUAUGGCAAUGGAUACUGGGUGGCUAGAGUGUGGUAGAGGUCACGGGAAUUCCAGGUGUAGCGGUGAAAUGCGUAGAUAUCAGGAGGAACACCUAUUGCGAAGGCAGCUCGCUGGGACGUAACUGACGCUGAGACGCGAAAAGCGUGGGGAGCAAACAGG